AUACGUAGGGGGCGAAGCGUUGUCCGGAUUCACUGGGCGUAAAGCGCGCGCAGGCGGUGAUGUAAGUCUGAGGUGAAAACCCGAAGCUCAACUUCGGGACUGCCUUGGAUACUGCGUCACUUGAGGAUAGGAGAGGCAAGGGGAAGUUCCACGUGUAGCGGUGAAAUGCGUAGAGAUGUGGAGGAACACCUGUGGCGAAGGCGCCUUGCUGGCCUAUUUCUGACGCUGAGGCGCGAAAGCGU
rnacentral:rRNA from 1 species